UACGGAGGGUGCAAGCGUUAUCCGGAUUUACUGGGCUUAAAGCGUGUGUAGGCGGACUUCUAGGUACCUUGUGAAAUCCCACGGCUCACCCGUGGAACUGCUCGGUAUACUGGUCGUCUUGAGCCUUCUAGGGGCGAGUGGAACAAAUGGUGGAGCGGUGAAAUGCGUAGAUAUCAUUUGGAACGCCAAUGGUGAAAACAACUCGCUGGGGAAGUGCUGACGCUGAGACACGAAAGCCAGGGGAGCGAACGGG
rnacentral:rRNA from 1 species